rnacentral:rRNA from 1 species
GUACGGGAGGCAGCAGUCGAGAAUUUUUCACAAUGGGCGCAAGCCUGAUGGAGCGACGCCGCGUGGGGGAUGAAUGGCUUCGGCCCGUAAACCCCUGUCAUUUGCGAUCAAACGUUAUUAUUUAAAAGAUGAUGACCUGAUGGUAGCGAAAGAGGAAGGGACGGCUAACUCUGUGCCAGCAGCCGCGGUAAUACAGAGGUCCCAAGCGUUGUUCGGAUUCACUGGGCGUAAAGGGUGCGUAGGUGGUGGGGUAAGUCGGAUGUGAAAUCUCGGAGCUCAACUCCGAAAUGGCAUUGGAAACUGCCCUGCUUGAGGGUCGGAGGGGGGACUGGAAUACUUGGUGUAGCAGUGAAAUGCGUAGAUAUCAAGUGGAACACCAGUGGCGAAGGCGAGUCCCUGGACGACUCCUGACACUGAGGCACGAAAGCUAGGGGAGCAAACAGGAUUAGAUACCCCCGUAGUCCC